AGGCUGUUAGUCCAACUGGCAGAGCACCGGAUUCCAAAUCCGAAGAUUAGGGUUCGAGUCCUUGACAGCCUGCCA
rnacentral:tRNA from 1 species